AAGACUAUACUUUCAGGGAUCAUUUCUAUAGUUCCUUAUUAGAGAGGUUUCUCAGACUGUGUAGAAUACACAAAACCAUGAAGAGGCACAGUAUUCUCUCCUGAGCUUGAAGCUGGCACUGUGUGUUAUUUUGUGCAACUGCCCAUUGCCAUUGAUCGUUCUUUUCUCUCCUUGGUAGAGUUAGAAGGAGAGAACACAGUCUGAGUGGA
ensembl:snoRNA U3 Small nucleolar RNA U3